UAGAGUUUGAUCCUGGCUCAGAACGAACGCUGGCGGCGUGCCUAACACAUGCAAGUCGAACGGUAACAGGGACUUCGGUCCGCUGACGAGUGGCGCACGGGUGAGUAACGCGUGGGGCUACCUGCCCAUCAGUGAGGAACAACCUGGAGAAAUCCAGGCUAAUACCGCAUACGACCUUCGGGUGAAAGAGGGGGAUUCUUCGGAACCUCUCGCUGAUGGAUGGUCCCGCGUCUGAUUAGCUAGUUGGUAAGGUAACGGCUUACCAAGGCGAUGAUCAGUAGCUGGUCUGAGAGGAUGAUCAGUCACACUGGAACUGAGACACGGUCCAGACUCCUACGGGAGGCAGCAGUGGGGAAUUUUGCACAAUGGGCGAAAGCCUGAUGCAGCGACGCCGCGUGCGGGAAGAAGGCCUUCGGGUUGUAAACCGCUUUCAACAGGGAAGAAGGAAUGAGGGUUAAUACCCCUCUGCCUUGACGGUACCUGUAGAAGAAGCCCCGGCUAAUUUCGUGCCAGCAGCCGCGGUAAUACGAAAGGGGCAAGCGUUGUUCGGAUUUACUGGGCGUAAAGAGAUCGUAGGUGGCUUGUUAAGUCGGAUGUGAAAUCCCGGGGCUCAACCCCGGAACUGCAUUCGAUACUGGCAGGCUUGAGUUCGGGAGGGGUAAGCGGAAUUCCGUGUGUAGCAGUGAAAUGCGUAGAUAUACGGAGGAACACCUGAGGCGAAGGCGGCUUACUGGACCGAUACUGACACUGAGGAUCGAAAGCGUGGGUAGCAAACAGGAUUAGAUACCCUGGUAGUCCACGCCCUAAACGAUGUCAACUAGCCGUUGCGGGUAUCGACCCCA
rnacentral:rRNA from 1 species